UACGUAGGGGGCAAGCGUUAUCCGGAAUUACUGGGUGUGAAGGGAGCGUAGACGGUAAUGUAAGUCUGGAGUGAAAGGCGGGGGCCCAACCCCCGGACUGCUCUGGAAACUAUGUUACUAGAGUGCAGGAGAGGUAAGCGGAAUUCCUAGUGUAGCGGUGAAAUGCGUAGAUAUAUGGAGGAACACCGGUGGCGAAAGCGGCUCUCUGGCCUGUGACUGACACUGAGGCUCGAAAGCGUGGGGAGCAAACAGG
rnacentral:rRNA from 1 species